UACAGAGGGUGCUAGCGUUAAUCGGAUUUACUGGGCGUAAAGGGCGCGUAGGUGGAUAUUUAAGUGUGAUGUGAAAGCCCCGGGCUUAACCUGGGAAGUGCAUCGCAAACUGGAUAUCUAGAGUACGAGAGAGGGUGGUGGAAUUUCCGGUGUAGCGGUGAAAUGCGCAGAUAUCGGGAGGAACACCAAUGGCGAAGGCAGCUCACUGGGACGGUACUGACGCUGAGACGCGAAAGCGUGGGGAGCAAACAGG
rnacentral:rRNA from 1 species